UACGUAGGGACCAAGCGUUGUUCGGAUUUACUGGGCGUAAAGGGCGCGUAGGCGGCGCGGUAAGUCACUUGUGAAAUCUCUGAGAUUAACUCAGAACGGCCAAGUGAUACUGCAGUGCUAGAGUGCAGAAGGGGCAAUCGGAAUUCUUGGUGUAGCGGUGAAAUGCGUAGAUAUCAAGAGGAACACCUGAGGUGAAGACGGGUUGCUAGGCUGACACUGACGCUGAGGCGCGAAAGCCAGGGGAGCAAACGGG
rnacentral:rRNA from 1 species